rnacentral:rRNA from 1 species
UUCCGGUUGAUCCUGCCGGACCCGACUGCUAUUUGGGUGAGGAUAAACCAUGCGAGUUGUAUGGGAUACCUAAAAUUCCCAUGGCGAACUGCUUAGUAACACAUGAUCAACUUACCCUAUGGAGAAAAAUAACCUCGGGAAACUGAGGAUAAUGUUUCAUAGUUGAAUAGGCUUGGAAAAGUUUUUCAAUGAAUGGGAUAAGAAAAAUGGUUCUUAUCUGCCAUAGGAUAGGAUCGUGGUCGAUUAUGGUUGUUGGUGAGAUAACGGCUCACCAAGCCGAUAAUCGAUAGGGGCCGUGAGAGCGGGAGCCCCAAGAUGGGUACUGAGACAACGACCCAGGCCUUACGAGGCGCAGCAGGUGCGAGACCUCCGCAAUACACGAAAGUGUGACGGGGUUACCCAAAGUGUUCUCUUUUGAACUGUGGUAGGUGAGUAAUGUCCCCUACUAGAAAGGAGAGGGCAAGGCUGGUGCCAGCCGCCGCGGUAAAACCAGCUCUUCAAGUGGUCGGGAUAAUUAUUGGGCUUAAAGUGUCCGUAGCCGGUUUAGUAAGUUCCUGGUAAAAUCGGAUAGCUUAACUAUCCGCAUGCUAGGAAUACUGCUAUACUAGAGGGCGGGAGAGGUCUGAGGUACUAUAGGGGUAGGGGUGAAAUCUUAUAAUCCUUGUAGGACCACCAGUGGCGAAGGCGUCAGACUGGAACGCGCCUGACGGUGAGGGACGAAAGCCAGGGGAGCGAACCGGAUUAGAUACCCGGGUAGUCCUGGCCGUAAACGAUGCAUACUAGGUGAUGGCACGGCCAUGAGCCAUGUCAGUGCCGUAGGGAAACCGUUAAGUGUGCCGCCUGGGAAGUCGGUCGCAAGGCUAAAACUUAAAGGAAUUGGCGGGGGAGCAC